CAAUAGGCUAAUUAAGAGCGUAAGGGGAAUGCCUUGGCUCUCAGAGGCGAUGAAGGACGUGAUAAGCUGCGAUAAGCUUUGGGGAGUGGCACAAACACUUUGAUCCGAAGAUUUCCGAAUGGGGCAACCCGGCAUAUUGAAGAUAUGUCACACUGUAAAGUGAGCAAACCUGGUGAACUGAAACAUCUAAGUAACCAGAGGAAUAGAAAACAAAAGUGAUUCCGCUAGUAGUGGCGAGCGAACGCGGAACAGCCCAAACCUAUGUUGUUACGGCAAUAUAGGGGUUGUAGGACCUCAACAUUUAAUGCUAAAAGAACUAGAAUUUACUGGAAAGUAAAACCAUAGAAGGUGAUAGUCCCGUAUAGGUAAUUGAUGUAAUUAAUAGAGGUAUCCUGAGUAGUACGGGGCACGUGAAACCUUGUAUGAAACUGCCGGGACCAUCCGGUAAGGCUAAAUACUCCUGAGAGACCGAUAGUGAACUAGUACCGUGAGGGAAAGGUUAAAAGAACCCUGAAUAAGGGAGUGAAAUAGAUCCUGAAACCUUACGCUUACAAGCGGUCGGAGCACAAUUAAUGUGUGACGGCGUGCCUUUUGCAUAAUGAGCCUACGAGUUACCUUUGCUAGCAUGGCUAAUCCGUUAAGCGGAGCAACCGAAGCGAAAGCGAGUCUGAAUAGGGCGUUUAGUUAGCAGUGGUAGACGCGAAACCUAGUGAUCUAUCCAUGGGCAGGUUGAAGCUGUAGUAACAUACAGUGGAGGACCGAACCCGUUGACGUUGAAAAGUCUUGGGAUGACCUGUGGAUAGGGGUGAAAGGCCAAUCAAACUAGGAAAUAGCUCGUACUCCCCGAAAUGCAUUUAGGUGCAGCGUUAAAAUAAGUUUCAUAGAGGUAGAGCUACUGAUUGGAUGCGGGGGUUUCACCACCUACCAAUUCCUGACAAACUCCGAAUGCUAUGAAAUGUUUUUUAGCAGUGAGGGCAUGGGUGCUAAGGUCCAUGUCCGAGAGGGAAACAACCCAGAUCAUCAGUUAAGGUCCCAAAGUAUAUACUAAGUUGAAUAAACGAGGUUUGACUGCCCAGACAGCUAGGAUGUUGGCUUGGAAGCAGCCAUUCAUUUAAAGAGUGCGUAACAGCUCACUAGUCGAGCGGUCGAGCAUGGAUAAUAAUCGGGCAUAAGUAUAUCACCGAAACUAUGGCAAUAUUUAUAUUGGGUAGGGGAGCAUUCUAUUCUACGUUGAAGGUAAACUGUGAGGUUUGCUGGAGUGUAUAGAAACGAAAAUGUAGGCAUAAGUAACGAUUAGGGGUGCGAGAAACACCCCCUCCGAAAAACUCAGGUUUCCUCAGCUAUGCUAAUCAGCUGAGGGUUAGUCAGGACCUAACGCGAACCCAAAUGGGGUAGUGGAUGGACAACCAGUUAAUAUUCUGGUACCUGCAUAGCAACAAAAGUGACGGAAAAGCAAUGUCAUUGCGUACUGACAGAAUAGUACGUUGAAAUCACUGUUAAGGUGAUGAUAGUACACCGAUCCUUCGGGUGAGGUGAUAAUAUGACGGACCUUUUUCCAAGAAAAACAAGCUAUGCAGCCUGUACUGUAAACCGACACAGGUAGUUGGGAUGAGGAUUCUAAGGAGCUCGAGAGAUUCAUGGCUAAGGAACUAGGCAAAUUUGACCCGUAACUUCGGGAGAAGGGUCGCCUACUUUUAGUAGGCCGCAGUGAAAAGGUCCAAGCGACUGUUUAUCAAAAACACAGGACUCUGCUAAGUCGAAAGACGAUGUAUAGGGUCUGACACCUGCCCGGUGCUGGAAGGUUAAGUGGAGAUGUUAGCAUUUAUUUGCAAAGCAUUGAAAUGAAGCCCCAGUAAACGGCGGCCGUAACUAUAACGGUCCUAAGGUAGCGAAAUUCCUUGUCGGGUAAGUUCCGACCUGCACGAAUGGUGUAACGAUUUGGACACUGUCUCAGCCAUGAGCUCGGUGAAAUUGUAGUAGCGGUGAAGAUGCCGCUUA
rnacentral:rRNA from 1 species